rnacentral:hammerhead_ribozyme from 1 species
AUCCAUCUGAUGAGUCCCAAACAGGACGAAACGCGCGUCCUGGAU